rnacentral:rRNA from 1 species
UACGGGGGGGGGCAAGCGUUGUUCGGAAUUACUGGGCGUAAAGGGCUCGUAGGCGGCCAACUAAGUCGGAUGUGAAAUCCCCCAGGCUUAACCUGGGAACUGCAUCCGAUACUGGAUGGCUUGAAUUCGGGAGAGGGAUGCAGAAUUCCAGGUGUAGCGGUGAAAUGCGUAGAUAUCGGAAGGAACAUCAGUGGCGAAAGCGGCUUCCUGGACCAGUACCGACGUUCAGGCACGAAAGCGUGGGGAGCAAACAGG